UCCCUGGAGGAUUAGUGGUUAGGCCACAGCGCUCUCACUGCUGCGGCCCAGGUUCGAUUCCCGGCCAGGAAA
rnacentral:tRNA from 1 species